UCUAAAUCCUUGCAUUCUAACCUUAUUGAUUUCCUAGUUUUCAAUUGAAAUAUGUUAUAUGCUACAACCAUCAUAGCCUGAGUGACUACCAUUGUCAAUUUGCUUUACGAGGUCUCUUUUUAUUUUUCUUCUGCAGCCUCUUUUAUAAUUCCAGUUCAGUAUUGUAACAAAGGUAAUUUAGAAGAAGAUUGUGUUUUGUCCCUUUAUGUUUGUCAGAGGCAGCAUUAAUUUCGCCCCCUUUUCUCUUUUUUGGAAAUUUAUCUUCGGCCCUUACUCUUGAGUAGCUUGCUGGUCUUGAGUACCAGCAUUAUGUAUUUUAGUAAGUUUUAAAAUUUAGACCUUAACAAUGCCAAUUUAUUGAUCCAAUCCGCCCCUUAAACUCAUCAAUCAGCUCCUUAAACUCACCGCCAUCUCCUCUCUCGUUCUCCACCAUUACUCCCUCUCCACCCACCAACUUUCCCUUUACUUCACUGCCCUUUCUUCUUUGUUAACCCCCCCUCCUCACUCCCGUAACAUAUGGUAAAAGACUAUUUGUUACUGAAGUUCCAAUUGAUUAUACAUGUAGUGCAGAUCAAAUCAAAUAAGUUGAAGACUUGCUUGAUAAUAUGGUAUCCAUAUGAUUUGGAGUUAUUAGAUAACAUAGAAGCCCUACCUCAACUUGACAUGUCAACCAAAGCCUAAUCUCUUAACCCUCACUAGACAUUAAAUUACCACAAUCUUUAUCAACCAGUUGGAAGAGUGAGGAAAAAACAUGCAGUAAAAUCGGUGGACCACUUGUAAACAACAAGAGAGAAUCUGCUAACUUGCAACAAUAAUGAAACACUUGAUGGAGAUUCUACUUUAGGCAUAACUAAAGUAACUAUCUUGUACAACAAAUUAUCUUUACAAAAAGUUAAGAUCCUAUUUUUAUUGUCUUUUUAUCUCUUACAACUUUAUAAAUGGGUUAGCAACUCUUUUUGUAAGAGAUCAUGGAAAUAUAAAAUCGGUCUCAGUGCCUUAUAUAAGAGUCAUCUUGUGUGUUUUCUAACGUGUAUUGUGUAGAAACUAUAUUUCUUAUGAAAUUCCCAUUUACCUUAGAGUUUUUAAAAUCUUAAUUUUCAUUGUAAAUUAAAAGAAUGAGGUUUUAGUAUUAACUACUUGGCGUUUAUCACAACUGUCAAAUUAACAUUUAUCAUGGUUAUCAAUUAAGUAUUUAUUAGGAAUUUUCCAUAAGUUUUAAAUGUUAAUGUGGUAAAAUUCAUUCAAUUUAUAAUCUAUUGUGGAGAUUUUAAGAAUUUUAUAAAGUAAUGUAUUGGAGGAACACUAAUGAAUUUUAUCCAAGCGUGAUGCUUGAAACUACAUUUUUACGCUACCACUAUCUCGUUCUGCUUAUGUAGCAAUGUGAAUCAGCUAUUGUAAAAAAAUUAAAUUAAAAAAAAUUUAAAGGUUGAUUUGCAUCCCGACGUUAGCCCGUAAGUUAAAAAUAUUGUUUAUAACAUUACUUUUUAUCCAGUUAUUGUGAUUGAAAUAUGAAAAAUGAUGUACAUUUACUUUUAUUUUUAUUGAUGUGGCAUUGAAGUAAUCUUUGUUAUAAAAAUGAUUAAGGAAGUAUUAAUAGAUUCACAAUUGUAAAUAGGAUAAGAAUGUUGGGUAUAUCAAUUACUCUUCAUAUAUUUUUACAUGUCCACACAAAAUAGGGGAGGAAGAAUUUGAACUAGUGACCUCUACUUCAUGAAGCGUGGUCCUCAGUCGAUUGAACUACCCAUUGGAGACUUUAUAUACUAUCCUUCAUGAAAAAAAGACAACAUAAGCAAAAUCGUAUUGAAUUGAAACACCAAUUUAGUGGAAAACGAAGAGAGAUAAAAGGAAGAGACAAACUAGUAUUGGCAAUAACAAGGAAGCACCCAUAGGUCCAACCAUCCUAAUAACCUGUUUGAGUAGUUGGCGACGUGUGGGACUAGGGGUAUUAGAUGAGUUUAGCUGGUUGUAAACUCAGUUUGACUCAGCUUACUUAAACUCAAUUCAGUCUCGAUUUGAAAAAAAAAAAAAUGGGUUGAUCUAGUCGUAUAUUAAACGAGACAUACUCGUAUAAACUUGGUUCGGCUCGUUCAAAGGUCGCUCGGCUUGUAUAAAUUCAACUUGACUUAUUCGGCUUGAAUUUUUAGCUCCAAAUUCUGCUCGGCUCUAAUAUAACCUUAGAUAGGACUAAUAUAGGGUGAUGGGGUUAAGAGCAUUCACAACAGCUUCCUUAUAAGGGUCAAAUUCUUUAAAUUUUAGGAAAAAUUUCAAGAAAGUCAUAAAAACCAUCCCACAGCAACUUCUCUAAAAUUUUCUAUUCCCUGGGUAGUGAACAGUAAUUCCCAAUGUAUAGGAAAGUACUGUUCACUUCACAUCUUAUUUUAUAAUCUUUAAAAAAAACACUCCUCUCAUGGCUCUCUAAGCCUCAGAACGAGGUGCGCCAAGUCAACAUUUUGGAGCACCAACGAGUCCUUCGUUUCAGAGGGCCUCAUCGUGCCCAAACUCCCCACGAGUGGCCCACUCAUCAUGCCAUUCUCCACCUUAGCAAUCUUCCCCUCUUCCGAUGCCUUCCGAUUACGAAGAUCCCAGACCCACCAGCCUUGCCCUUGCUGAUGUAGGUGACGUACGAUCGACAUAUUUGGGAGCAUGACGAGCAUGGCCCAUCAUUUGGGUCCGUGACGAGCACCAUUCUCGCUGUUGGAGACCCCGUGUUGAGAUAAAGGAGACUCUGGACGGGUAGCUACUUAAUUGCCAAAGCCCUGGACGGGAAGCCUGCCGAUGAUGGUGGUUUUGGUGUGAUAGAUUGAGAAAGAUGGAUAGUUUGGGUAGUGGGUGUGAGGACAGAGAAGAUGAGAGAGGGAGAGAGAAUAAAAGAAAUGAAUAAAAAAUAAAAGAAAAAUGUAAAAAUUAAUAUAUUAAUGAUAUAGGAAAAAAAAAAAUGUAAGAAAGUUGCUGAAGAGUUUUUUUUAAGGGGGAAAAAAAAAAAAAGAAGUAGUUAGAAAGUUACUAGAAAUGCUCUAACAAAUUCAUUCGUCACUCGUAAAAGAGCCACGCGGAUCCUCGUUAGGUGGUGUAGAAUUUUCUUUUAUUUGAAAAAAAAACAACGGUUCAGAUUGAAUGGUAGCUUUAAAUGUGCGUAAGCACAACGCACUGUGACUUGUCAACACACACACACCAAACCUUGAAUGGUAGUUUUCAAUGUGCGUAAGAACAAAGCAGAGAGACGUCUCAAAGCAAACAACCAACUUUUUCAAAUAUAGAUAAAAAUAUCUACACGGCACCGCCUGCAAGGAAAAGGGGUGACAGCGCGUUACCCACGUAGAUUAUACGAUUGCCGUUGAUCUCCCUUAAAGUCGUCCAUCUCAACCGUUCAAGCUUCCUAUCCCCAUCUAUAAGUUAGGUUCUCCCUACCUUUCAUUUAUUCUCUCGUCCUCGCCUUCUUCACCUGUCUUUCUUUCUAGACUCACCAUCGCUGCAAUUCUCACCUAAAUGUUCCUCCGGCUUAGAUCUCUUCUCGUAAGAGAUUCUUGUUCCUUACCCAGAAGGCGGAGGUUAUGGCGGAGAUCCGUGAGCGUCUGCUGUGGGAGUCAUACCGGUCUCAGAUCUGAUGCGUUGUCGCUGUCGCCGUCCUAGUUUGGAGUCCCUGGUCAAUGGACUGAGAUCUGUGCCUGUUGCUCUGGACGGAGGCUAAUUGCUUUGCUCAUAAUGAUAUAUAUUCUUUGUAUGCGAUUAUUAAGCAAGGUCUUAGCGUUGUAAUCGCCAUAGAUUUCAUCGCGGUUGUUAUAGCGUGCGUAAGAAAUCAGGAGGGGCCUGAUUUCGGGGGGACCGAGUCAAUAAUUGAGUUUGUUGUCGACCUUUGCCAUGACAGGUGCGCUUGCAUGGCAGGUCACCCAAUCUCUUAAUAAAAGAUUUAAGUUUUUUGGUUUCGAGGGAAGACCGCACGGGGAUUUUUUUUCCCGGGGUCUCUCCUCUGGUGCGCCGUGUUCUGCUGCUUUCCUCUCCUUGCUUUCCAUUACUUUGGCCAUAGCAUCCAUCAUGAUAUGCUUGAUCUGAAUCUUACACAGACAAUCCGAGUCGGUAGCGUAUUAGCGUUUUCAGAUCUGCAUCAACUUCCGGGGAUUAAAGGUACACACACCAUUUAGUCAUUUACUUGAAUUACUUUACAAAUUACGCAAGUCUCUAUUCUUGGUUUCCAGGGAAAAAUAAAUACCUAAAGUUAUUAUGCUUAAAAUUACUUUUUUGAAUCGAAUUCGACCAGAUCUGUUUCCGGAUAGAAAUAAAUACCUGUAGUUAUUAUGCUUAAAAUUACUUUUUUGAAUCGAAUUCGACCAGAUCUGUUUCCGGCUAGACAUAAAUACCGAAAGAUAUUUUGCUUAAAAUUACUAUUUUGAAUCGGAUUCGACCAGAUCUGUUUCCGGAUAGAAAUAUAUACCUGAAGUUAUUAUGCUUGAAAUUACUUUCUUGAAUCGAAUUCAACCAGAUCUGUCUGUUGAAUCUAGCGUAAUCUCAAGCCAUGCUUCAUUCAUGUAAACACGUUUAAGCCGGGAAUAUGCUUAUUUGAAUGUGAAAUCUCUAUUUUGCAACAUUUGAAAAUCAAUUAACAUUUUACUUUAAAGGGCGUACCGAUUGUACGUAUAUUGGAAGUCUGAUUUUGAUGUGCCAAAUAGCGGUUGUGAUAGCAUAGUUGAAUCCAUUAAGAUAUAGCGAUCAUUGAAACUUCAGACAGUAAUCUUGUUUCUUUUUAGUUACAAAUGGUAAAUAAUUGUCUUAAAUAAUAACUUGAAUUAGCUUCAUGGAUUUUCUUCACAUGAUUCAGAAGAAAUAUUGUCUGAAAUAUCAUCAGAUAGUUGAGUAAUUACUGGGAAAUUCUUGUUACAGCAAAUUGUUAUCCUUGAUACAAACAAACACCAGUUUAUUUAAGUACUAUGGCUUGUAGCCCGAGGAUUCGGAGAGUUUAUAUGUAACUCCGUAUGCUUUUGGUGAGAUGUGUUGUAUUUGUUCCCGCUCCUUUUGUACUAGGAAGGAUUUUGUUUCCCUUUAAUCGAGAAGUCUCUGGAUCUCAUAAUCAAUUCCGGUAUGCGAGACAAGCUGGUUUGUUGACGACGGUGGCGCGUGCUGUUCAAGAAUUUUUGGAGAAUGAGAUCCGGUUUAUUGAGCGGCAAUUCUGAGAAAGUGACAGAUUUAGAGAUCAGACUGAUGGCUGGUCCUUUGAGGUGACGAAACUUGUGAUCAAUGAUGGUAUCAUAUAUUAUUUUACAUCUAUGCAUUUUUACCUGUGUUCUUGUUGUA